rnacentral:rRNA from 1 species
AUUGAACGCUGGCGGCAGGCUUAACACAUGCAAGUCGAGCGGAGAUGAGGUGCUUGCACCUUAUCUUAGCGGCGGACGGGUGAGUAAUGCUUAGGAAUCUGCCUAUUAGUGGGGGACAACAUUCCGAAAGGAAUGCUAAUACCGCAUACGUCCUACGGGAGAAAGCAGGGGAUCUUCGGACCUUGUGCUAAUAGAUGAGCCUAAGUCGGAUUAGGUAGUUGGUGGGGUAAAGGCCUACCAAGGCGACGAUCUGUAGCGGGUCUGAGAGGAUGAUCCGCCACACUGGGACUGAGACACGGCCCAGACUCCUACGGGAGGCAGCAGUGGGGAAUAUUGGACAAUGGGGGGAACCCUGAUCCAGCCAUGCCGCGUGUGUGAAGAAGGCCUUAUGGUUGUAAAGCACUUUAAGCGAGGAGGAGGCUACUGAGACUAAUACUCUUGGAUAGUGGACGUUACUCGCAGAAUAAGCACCGGCUAACUCUGUGCCAGCAGCCGCGGUAAUAC